GGCUGGUCCAAAGGCAGCUAGUUAUCUCGGUUGAUUGUUCACAGUUAUGGAUCAAACUCUUUGUUAAACUCUUUCCCUUCUUCUCAUUACUGUGCUUGACCAGUCUAAA
rnacentral:Y_RNA from 1 species